CGAGGAACCUUACCAGGGCUUGACAUACGUUGGAAGCGCAUCGAAAGGUGCGUGCCGCUUGCGGCCGCGCACAGGUGCUGCAUGGCUGUCGUCAGCUCGUGCUGUGAAGUGUUGGGUUAAGUCCCGCAACGAGCGCAACCCCUGCUGCCUGUUGCCACCACGAGAGGUGGGGACUCAGGCGGGACCGCCGGUGACAAACCGGAGGAAGGUGGGGACGACGUCAAAUCAUCAUGCCCCUUAUGAUCUGGGCUACACACGUGCUACAAUGGCCGGUACAACGGGCAGCGAAGGAGCGAUCCGGAGCGAAUCCUAAAAAAGCCGGUCCCAGUUCGGAUUGCAGGCUGAAACUCGACUUCAUGAAGCUGGAAUCGCUAGUAAUCGUGGAUCAGCCAAGCCGCGGUGAAUACGUUCCCGGGCCUU
rnacentral:rRNA from 1 species